UGAAAAACUGGAUCUUUAAUUCUGAAGCUCCCUUCCUCACCAGAACACAAAAAACCUUCUUCUUGUUACAAGACAGGGAAAGGACUCUCGUACAACUUUCAUGACUUUCAUGUCCAGCAGAUACUCAGACUGCAACACAGAAAUGUGCAGCAGAAACAGUCAUGACAAUGGACUUCAUGAUAGUUCCUACAAGCAAGUUGUCUGAGCAGAAAGAUCAUCAAAGCAACCUUCAGACACAUGGCACAUAUUAGUCUUCUCUUCCCCAACAAUGCCAUUCAGCCUAGUGUGCAUGUUCAUCAUGAUAAAUACGUGUAAUCUUGUGGAGUUAGACACCAAUGCAACACCUAUGUACCAGGACAUCUCAGAAUAUUAAAUAUUGCUUCAGAAAAAAUGUAUUUAUGCACAUGUUGACAGUUCAUUUUCAGGUGGGAACUUCUCAGCUGUUCUGCAUAGAGCUACUUCAAUCUUCAGUCUUCCCACUGUGAAAUUUUAGACAACUCAUCUGCUGAGCGCUUGCCAGCCCUAUUAACAUUUAUACAUUCCAUACACAUUCUAGUCAGAGCAUGUAAGUUGCAGAUCUCUCUGGUUUAGAAGCUAUUAAGAUUCUUGACCCCUUUAGCUAUUUAAUCCAUGGUCCUGAAGCCUUUGCAAUCAGCUUACUCUUGAAGAAGAAAGGAUAAAUCAUUAUUGUUCAAAUAUUGUCCUGCAUUGUGUCCUUUCGCAGUCCAUCAAAGAGCAAUUAAGAGCUUCAGUGCAUUCAUUUAUCUCAGAGACACAGGUUAUAAGGCAUUCUUUUAUUGGAAGAAGAGAAUAGAAUGUUAUUUACUCAGUUGCAUUUAAUUUUGGCUUAAUGACUUUAGCUGUAGUUGCUUCUCUGCAUAAGAAAUAAAAGCCAACUCAUGUUUUUCUGUUCUCAUAUCUUAACAUCAACUUUGGUGCAUUGUAAAAGGGUACACUAAUGCUUUGCCAAAGACACACAGGUAGAAAAACACAUGGAAUUCUUCUGGAAAUUAACGUUAACACAACCUGAAGUGAAAGUUAGCACCCUCCUUUCCCCCCCACCCUUGCCCCUGUAAGGAUUUUAUGCAUCUUCUUAGAAUGGCACAGUGAUCCAUAGCUAUCACAGACUUAUUUUCCAGGAUCCACAAGAGUUAGCAUUUUAUUAAAUUUGUGUGGGAUUUUCAUCUCAUGAGUGACUUCAGGCAUCCACAGUUCCCAGUAAGUGCAAUGAAUAGCAGGAAUUCAGUAUCACUCAUGAUUAAGAUUUGAAGUGUAUAAAGGAAUUAAUUUUAGUCUGUAGCAGAAAGCAAAGGGAACAAAAUUAAAGUGGGACAAGUCUUGGGAUACUCAGAUUAAGCAGCAGAACUCGUAAUUACCAUCUAAAGAGCCUGUUAGCUUCUUUCCCGUGAAUUCUUUGGAUUAGGAUUUCUUACAGACUGGGUUGCAAAUUAUUAUCAUGAUACAAUUAUUAUCAUAAUAAUUCUAUUAUGUAAUGCUGCUUUAAAAAAAAAAAAAAGUAUUAUACACUGAUUUAAAAAAAAAUCACUUGUUUU